rnacentral:rRNA from 1 species
CCCUUAGAUGUUCUGGGCCGCACGCGCGCUACACUGAUGCAUUCAACGAGUCUAAAACCUGGUCUGAUAGGGCUGGGUAAUCUUUUGAAUGUGCAUCGUGAUUGGGAUAGAUGAUUGCAAUUCUUCAUCUUCAACGAGGAAUGCCUAGUAAACGCAAGUCAUCAGCUUGCAUUGAUUACGUCCCUGCCCUUUGUACACACCGCCCGUCGCUCCUACCGAUUGAAUGUUCCGAUGAAUACCAUGGACUGAGAGUAUGAAUGGGUUCGCCUAUUUCUGCUUCUCGGGAAGUGGAGUAAAUCUUAACAUUUAGAGGAAGGAGUAGUCGUAACA